rnacentral:rRNA from 1 species
GACGAACGCUGGCGGCGUGCUUAACACAUGCAAGUCGAACGGAAAGGCCCUGCUUUUGUGGGGUGCUCGAGUGGCGAACGGGUGAGUAACACGUGAGUAACCUGCCCUUGACUUUGGGAUAACUUCAGGAAACUGGGGCUAAUACCGGAUAGGAGCUCCUGCUUCAUGGUGGGGGUUGGAAAGUUUCGGCGGUUGGGGAUGGACUCGCGGCUUAUCGGCUUGUUGGUGGGGUAGUGGCUUACCAAGGCUUUGACGGGUAGCCGGGCUGAGAGGGUGACCGGCCACAUUGGGCCUGGGCUGAGGCCCAGACUACUACGGGAGGCAGCAGUGGGGAAUAUUGCACAAUGGGCGGAAGCCUGAUGCAGCAACGCCGCGUGCGGGAUGACGGCCUUCGGGUUGUAAACCGCUUUCGCCUGUGACGAAGCGUGAGUGACGGUACUGGGUAAAGAAGCACCGGCUAACUACGUG